CUACGGGACGCUGCAGCGAGGAAUAUUGCACAAUGGGGGGAACCCUGAUGCAGCAACGCCGCGCGGAGGAUGACGCAUUUCGGUGUGUAAACUCCUUUUAUAUGUCAAGAAAAUGACGGUAGCAUAUGAAUAAGCACCGGCUAACUCCGUGCCAGCAGCCGCGGUAAUACGGAGGGUGCAAGCGUUACUCGGAAUCACUGGGCGUAAAGGACGCGUAGGCGGGUUGGAAAGUCAGGUGUGAAAUCCUACAGCUUAACUGUAGAACUGCACUUGAAACUUCUAAUCUAGAGUAUGGGAGGGGGAGAUGGAAUUAGUGGUGUAGGGGUAAAAUCCGUAGAUAUCACUAGGAAUACCUAAAGCGAAGGCGAUCUCCUGGAACAUUACUGACGCUAAGGCGUGAAAGCGUGGGGAGCAAACAGGAUUAGAUACCCUAGUAGUC
rnacentral:rRNA from 1 species